rnacentral:rRNA from 1 species
CCCUUAGACGUUCUGGGCCGCACGCGCGCUACACUGACCAGUGCAACAAGCAUCCGUCCUUGGCCGACAGGCCCGGGCAAUCUUUGAACGCUGGUCGUGAUGGGGAUAGACUUUUGCAAUUUUUGGUCUCCAACGAGGAAUUCCUAGUAAACGCAAGUCAUCAACUUGCAUUGAUUACGUCCCUGCCCUUUGUACACACCGCCCGUCGCACCUACCGAUUGAAUGGUCCGGUGAAGCCUCCGGAUUGGCGCGCACCUCGGUGCCGCCGAGAAGUUGGCUAAACCUUACCAUUUAGAGGAAGGUGAAGUCGUAACA